GAUGAACGCUGACAGAAUGCUUAACACAUGCAAGUCAACUUGAAUUUGGGUUUUUAACUUAGGUUUGGGUGGCGGACGGGUGAGUAACGCGUAAAGAACUUGCCUCACAGCUAGGGACAACAUUUGGAAACGAAUGCUAAUACCUAAUAUUAUGAUAAUAGGGCAUCCUAUAAUUAUGAAAGCUAUAAGCGCUGUGAGAGAGCUUUGCGUCCCAUUAGCUAGUUGGAGAGGUAACGGCUCACCAAGGCGAUGAUGGGUAGCCGGCCUGAGAGGGUGAUCGGCCACAAGGGGACUGAGACACGGCCCGUACUCAUUCGGGAGGCAGCAGUGGGGAAUAUUGGACAAUGGACCGAGAGUGUGAUCAAGCAAUUCUGUGUGCACGAUGAAGUUUUUCGGAAUGUAAAGUGCUUUCAGUUGGGAAGAAACAAAUGACGGUACCAACAGAAGAAGUGACGGCUAAAUACGUG
rnacentral:rRNA from 1 species